GAGAACGAGGACGAGUUUAUCUACCUAUCCGCGGCCUGGUCGCGCAAUCUCUCUCCUCCCUCCCUCCCACCCUCCGCCCCCUUCCCGACGCGCCGCCGGAAACCCUAGCUCCACCGAUCUACCUCUCUCCAGCGCAGCACAGCCCAGGGGAGGGGAUGGCGGCGGCGCCGGCGGCGGGAGGGCAGGGCGGCGGGGGCAUGGACGCCGCGCUCCUCGACGACAUCAUCCGACGCCUGCUCGAGGUGCGGACCGCGCGCCCCGGGAAGCAGGUGCAGCUCUCCGAGGCGGAGAUCCGCCAGCUCUGCACCGUCUCCCGCGACAUCUUCCUCAGCCAGCCCAACCUGCUCGAGCUCGAGGCGCCGAUCAAGAUCUGCGGUGACAUCCAUGGUCAAUACAGCGAUCUUUUAAGGCUUUUUGAAUAUGGAGGCUUUCCUCCUGAAGCCAACUAUCUAUUCUUAGGUGAUUAUGUUGAUCGAGGCAAACAAAGUUUGGAGACUAUAUGCCUUCUUCUUGCAUACAAAAUCAAGUACCCAGAGAACUUUUUUCUUCUGAGGGGCAAUCAUGAAUGUGCUUCAAUAAACAGAAUAUAUGGAUUUUAUGAUGAAUGCAAACGUCGAUUUAAUGUGCGGCUAUGGAAGGUUUUCACUGAAUGUUUCAACACUCUCCCCGUGGCUGCUCUAAUUGAUGAUAAAAUAUUGUGUAUGCAUGGUGGACUCUCUCCUGAUCUAACACACUUGGAUGAGAUAAAGAACUUGCAACGUCCAACCGAUGUACCGGAUCAAGGUCUACUAUGUGACUUGCUUUGGUCAGAUCCAGGAAAAGAUGUUCAAGGGUGGGGCAUGAAUGAUAGAGGGGUCUCAUAUACCUUUGGUGCUGACAAGGUUUCAGAGUUCUUGGAAAAACAUGAUCUUGAUCUUAUUUGUCGGGCUCACCAGGUUGUUGAGGAUGGGUAUGAAUUCUUUGCUGACAGACAGCUUGUCACCAUAUUCUCGGCCCCGAAUUAUUGUGGUGAAUUUGAUAAUGCUGGUGCGAUGAUGAGCGUUGAUGAAACUUUGAUGUGCUCGUUCCAAAUUCUCAAACCUGCUGAGAGAAAAAACAAAUUUAUGGGGUCAAACAAAAUGUGAGAUGGUGAAUCCGUUCCGCUUCCAGCAGCUCUGAGCUCAUGACACCUCCUGUGGAUGCAUCAAGAUGAAAAGCAUGCUGGCGCCAAGCGAGGGCAGCAUUGGGCUACUUCUACCAGAGAAACAAAUAAUAUCAUACCUAACUGUUCGCCUGGAAGUUACUCUUCAUGGCAAGUGCCUGAUUUUUUACCCCUUUCCUGUUACCGUGUGUGAAACAAUCAUGUAGCUGUAGAUAUAUUGAUUAUGGAAGGAUGAAGUUGCCAAAUUGACCUGAGGCGAUUUCCUUCUCCAGCCAGGAAAAAUUCUGAACAUCAAGGAGUUUCUGUUUGCAAGUUUCACUAUUUAAAAGCAGUUGUAUCACUUGUAUGGAGGUAAGGGCUGAGCUGAGGCUGUGUUUUCUGUUGCUUGGAUAUGGAUUGCUGUUUUAGUUUCGAUAGAGGUGCCAAACAUCAAUUAAGCUGAAGAGUUGAGCAACACUGAAGGAGGUGCUGAUGCUUGCUGACAACUUACAAAAGGCGGUUCAACAGCUGACUUUUUUGGUUUAUCGGUCAGAUUAGUAUGAUGGACGACGUGAAUUUCGAUGUGCUGGCCAGAUUAGCUGCCAACUAGAAAUUCGUGUCUUGACUUGCACUUAUGGGUUUCACAUUUGGACAAUUUUGUUAUGGUAUUACAUGGGCGACUCUGGUUUUUUCU